CGGGGUGAGCAAUGUCUGGGAAACUGCCCGAUGGAGGGGGAUAACUACUGGAAACGGUAGCUAAUACCGCAUAACGUCGCAAGACCAAAGAGGGGACCUUAGGGCCUCUUGCCAUCGGAUGUGCCCAGAUGGGAUUAGCUAGUAGGUGGGGUAAUGGCUCACCUAGGCGACGAUCCCUAGCUGGUCUGAGAGGAUGACCAGCCACACUGGAACUGAGACACGGUCCAG
rnacentral:rRNA from 1 species